GGCACUAGACUCAACAAGGGCCUCAGCAAGGGCAGCUUCCUACCAAGCUUACUCUGAGCACCCCCAGAUGCCUAUUUGGAAACACCUUUGACCAACUCCUCAGUUUGCCCCUGAGACUGUUUGGGGACAAAGGAAAAAUGAUAGGAAAUGGGACAACUGGUGAAGCCCUGAAGUGUUUUUUCACACCUAACGCCUGUUAGUUGUAAACUUGUAUAAAGUAUGCGUCAACCAAAAGAAGAAGACUGAAAUUGACUAUGAUUCUAUCAUUUGGAGCUUACCGCUGUUAACGUAUUGGUUGUUUUCAGGUGAGGGUAGAGAAUAGUGGUUGAGAGCCUGGCAGCCUGGGUCGGAAUCCCGUCUGCCAUUUACUGACUGUGUGAACCAGGACAAGCUACUUAACCACUCACGAUUCAGUCUUCUCUUCUGUGAAAUGGUACAGGUAAUAAUAAUGCUACAACACAGAGUUGUGAAGAUUAGAUGUAUUAAUAUAUGUAAAACAUUUAGAACAGCUUUGGGCACAUAGUACUCUGUAUUUUGAAGCAAAAGAAAACCUGAUAUAACCAGCUUAAACAACCAAGAAAGUGUGUCGGAUGACAAAAUUGCAAAGUUAUAUAAUUGCAACCUUCAGAGGUAGGGCAGGCUGUUGAUCAGAGCCUUCAUAGUUUCUCUACAACUGUCCUAUUCAGAUGUCUAGGCCUCACAUCCCCCAGUUCAGAAGAACAGAGCCUGCUUUCCUACCUCCAGUCAUUAAACAAAAGGCAUAGGCUUCCCAACUGAAUGAAUUUAGGUCACAUGCCUGCCUCUAAACCAUUCACAGUAGCCAAGAGAAUCCCUUGCAGUGACCGGUUUCGGGGUGAAUUCCUUUCACAUUUUUGCACUUAGGGGGAUGGGAUCAUGCUGCUUGAGUAGGUGGGAGUAGAAUCAACCGUCUAUGAAUCCCAUGGCUGCGACACAAUGAGUGAGGCUGGCAAAAUGCCUUCAACAAUAGAUGAAUUUAUUUAUCGUAAAUAAUUUGUAGUGAAUUUAUUAAUAUUAAAAAAUAAACCAGUACAACAUUUCUAAAAACACCCUUUUAAGAAUACAAAAAAAAAAAAAAAUUCCAGAAAGAAAACCAAAAAGAUUUAAUUCUGAUGCUCUGAUAACCAUUCACGAUGCUUUUAAAAAAAGUACACGGCAAAAGAAUGCAAACGUGUUAUUCAGAAAUGUGUAAAAUACCACAUAGAACAUAUUGGAACAAUUGUCAAAACUUGAACACAGACUAUAUAAUAAAUGAUAGCAUCAAAGUUCAGUUGUCCUGGGGUCCCUGGCUGGCUUAGCCAGGAUAGCAUGUGACUCUUGAUCUCUAGGCCAUGAGUUUGAGCCCCACAUUGGGUGUAGAGAUUACUAAAAAAAAAAAAAAAAAAAAAAAAAAUUCAUUUGUCCUGAAUUUGAUGACUGUGAUGUGGUCAUAUAAGAGAAUGUCAUUAGAAGAUACGCACUGAAGGGGGAUGUGGGUGUCUCAGAAGGUUAAGCAACUGACUCUUGAUCUCGGCUCAGAUCAUGAUCUCAUGGUUUGUGAGACUGAGUCCCAAGUCGGGUCUGUGCUGAUGGUGUGGAGCCUGCUUGGGAUUCUCUCCCCUUCUCUCUCUGCCCCUCCCCCUCUUGUGCUCUCAAAAUAAAUAAACUUAAAAAAAGAGAAGAUACACACUGAAGUAUUUGGAGUAUUUGGACAUGAUUUCUGAAAGUUACUCUCAAAUAGUUUGGAAAGUUAAUGUAAAAGCCAUACAUGUAUUAUACACACAUGCACGUGUGUGUACAUAGAGAAAUAGCAAAGGUGGCAAAAUGUUAAAAUUUGGCAAAUCUGCAUAAAGAUUUGUAAUUCUUCUGUAUU